AGCGAACGCUGGCGGAAUGCUUAACACAUGCAAGUCUCACGGGCAGCAAUGUCAGUGGCGGACGGGUGAGUAACGCGUAGGAAUGUGUCCUGGGAUGGGGGAUAACGUCGGGAAACUGGCGCUAAUACCGCAUAUGGCCUUUGGGUCAAAGCCGCGAGGCGUCUUGGGAGCAGCCUGCGUCCGAUUAGCUUGUUGGUGAGGUAAAGGCUUACCAAGGCGACGAUCGGUAGCUGGUCUGAGAGGAUGAUCAGCCACACUGGAACUGAGACACGGUCCAGACUCCUACGGGAGGCAGCAGUGGGGAAUAUUGGACAAUGGGCGAAAGCCUGAUCCAGCAAUUCCGCGUGGGUGAAGAAGGUCUUCGGAUUGUAAAGCCCUUUCGACAGGGACGAUGAUGACGGUACCUGUAGAAGAAGCCCCGGCUAACUUCGUGCCAGCCGCCGCAGUAAAAC
rnacentral:rRNA from 1 species